GACGAACGCUGGCGGCGUGCUUAACACAUGCCAGUCGAGCGGAAAGGCCCUGCUUUUGUGUGUUGCUCGAUUGGCGCAUGGGUGAGUAACACGUGAGUAACCUGCCCUUGUCUUUGGGAUAUCUUCAGGAAACUGGGGCUAAUACCCGAUAUGAGCUCCUGCUGCAUGGGGUGGGUUGGAAAGUUUCGGCGGUUGUGGAUGUACUCGCGGGGUAUCAGCUUGUUGGUCAGGUAGUGGCUUACCCAGGCUUUGACGGAUAGCCGACGUGAGAGGGUGACCGGCCACACUGGAGGUGAGACACGGUCCUGGGUCCUACGGGAGGCAGCAGUAGGGAAGCGGCGGCAAUGGGGGAAAGCCUGACGGAGCAACGGCGCGUGAGUGAUGAAGGUCUCCGGAGCGGAAAACGCUGUUAUUGGGGAAGAACAGAUGUGGAAGUAACUGUGCACAGCUUGACGGUAACGAAUAAGAAAGCCCCGGCUAACUACGUG
rnacentral:rRNA from 1 species